rnacentral:rRNA from 1 species
GGUUGCCAUCAUAACAGCACUAAUGCACCGGAUCCCAUCAGAACUCCGCAGUUAAGCGUGCUUGGGCGAGAGUAGUACUAGGAUGGGUGACCCCCUGGGAAGUCCUCGUGUUGCAACCC